rnacentral:rRNA from 1 species
CGUAGGGACCGAGCGUUGUCCGGAUUCAUUGGGCGUAAAGAGCUCGUAGGCGGCCACUCAAGUCGAACGUGAAAACUCGGGGCUCAACCCCGAGCCCGCGUUCGAUACUGGGCGGCUAGAGUCUGGUAGGGGGAUCUGGAAUUCCUGGUGUAGCGGUGGAAUGCGCAGAUAUCAGGAGGAACACCGGUGGCGAAGGCGGGAUCCUGGGCCAGUACUGUCGCUGAGGAGCGAAAGCGUGGGGAGCAAACAGGAUUAGAUACCCUGGUAGUCCACGCCGUAAACGAUGGGCGCUAGGUGUGGGAGGUCAUCGACUCCUUCCGUGCCGCAGCUAACGCAUUAAGCGCCCCGCCUGGGGAGUACGGCCGCAAGGCUA